GGCUUCCUGGUGCUUACCAUAGGUCGCAUUCUUAUUUUGAGUGACAAAAAGAGGAAACAAAGUAAACCUACUUCAUAUACAUCUCAUCCCAGGCCCUGUGCCUGGUCUGUAUUUUAAUGGGGAGACAUGG
rnacentral:snoRNA from 1 species